UACAGAGGAUGCAAGCGUUAUCCGGAAUGAUUGGGCGUAAAGCGUCUGUAGGUGGCUUUUUAAGUCCGCCGUCAAAUCCCAGGCUCAACCUCGAGACGCCGAUGGAAACCAUCUGACUAGAGUCCGGAAGAGGAGAAUGGAAUUCCUGGUGUAGCGGUGAAAUGCGCAGAUAUCAGGAAGAACACCCGUGGCUAAGGCGGCUCUCUAGUACGGUACUGACGCUGAGACGCGAAAGCGUGGGGAGCGAACAGG
rnacentral:rRNA from 1 species